UGAGUAACACGUGGGUGAUCUGCCCUGCACUUUGGGAUAAGCCUGGGAAACUGGGUCUAAUACCGAAUAGGACCGCGCUCUUCAUGGGGUGUGGUGGAAAGCUUUUGCGGUGUGGGAUGGGCCCGCGGCCUAUCAGCUUGUUGGUGGGGUAAUGGCCUACCAAGGCGACGACGGGUAGCCGGCCUGAGAGGGUGACCGGCCACACUGGGACUGAGAUACGGCCCAGACUCCUACGGGAGGCAGCAGUGGGGAAUAUUGCACAAUGGGCGCAAGCCUGAUGCAGCGACGCCGCGUGAGGGAUGACGGCCUUCGGGUUGUAAACCUCUUUCAAUAGGGACGAAGCGCAAGUGACGGUACCUAUAGAAGAAGGACCGGCCAACUACGUGCCAGCAGCCGCGGUAAUACGUAGGGUCCGAGCGUUGUCCGGAAUUACUGGGCGUAAAGAGCUCGUAGGUGGUUUGUCGCGUUGUUCGUGAAAACUCACAGCUUAACUGUGGGCGUGCGGGCGAUACGGGCAGACUAGAGUACUGCAGGGGAGACUGGAAUUCCUGGUGUAGCGGUGGAAUGCGCAGAUAUCAGGAGGAACACCGGUGGCGAAGGCGGGUCUCUGGGCAGUAACUGACGCUGAGGAGCGAAAGCGUGGGGAGCGAACAGGAUUAGAUACCCUGGUAGUCCACGCCGUAAACGGUGGGUACUAGGUGUGGGUUUCCUUCCUUGGGAUCCGUGCCGUAGCUAACGCAUUAAGUACCCCCGCCUGGGGGAGUACGGCCGCAAGGCUAAAACUCAAAAGGAAUUGACGGGGGGCCCGCACAA
rnacentral:rRNA from 1 species